rnacentral:tRNA from 1 species
UCUGGGCUCGUCUAACGGCAGGGCGCCGGACUCUGGAUCCGGUUAUCGAGGUUCGAAUCCUCGGCCCAGAA